ACAGAAAAUGGACAAGAUCAGCAAACAGAAAGACUGUGAAAACAUCCAGAAGUGGAUGAGGAGCAUCAACAACCACAUAUACUGGACUGCAGCUACCUCAACUACAGGACCAGAGAGAAUAGCAAAAUGGACCUCAAUCCUGAACCACGUGCAAGACAUCCAUACACGAGGACCCUCUUUACCCCAAGUGCCUGCAUGACAUCCACCAGACACGUGACAAGAACAAAUGGCUACGUGCAGCAACUCCUGCUUUCUAUAAGUUAGAGAAGGUGUUGACCAACAAAAGAACACUGAAGGAUGUUGCAAAACUGAGCCCUCACCACCAGACUUCAUCAUUAGAGGCAUUUCACAGUGUGAUUCUUCGAUUUGCCCCAAAGAAUGUGGUUUUCCCAUUUAUUGGAAUGCUGAGCAGCUGCUAUGUAUUACAAUGAAAACGCUGACCGGCCUCAAGCAAAAACACAGGAAGGUGUACCUCUUUUCAAGGUCCAUUUUCCAAAGGCCGUGAAGGGAGAAUGCAGGGCCAAACCACACAAGAUAGAGCCAACAUUUCGGUAUGUUGCUGACAUGAUGGACCUCAUCUUUGACCAAGUGUUUCUGGACCCUGCAACAUACAUGAAUGCACUGUUGGCCUUCCCUGUUCCAGAGGACCUAACUGCGCAG